rnacentral:rRNA from 1 species
UCGACGGUGAAGAGGAGCUUGCUCCUUGGAUCAGUGGCGAACGGGUGAGUAACACGUGAGCAAUCUGCCCUUGACUCUGGGAUAACUGCGGGAAACUGUAGCUAAUACCGGAUAUUACCUUGGAAGGCAUCUUCUGGGGUGGAAAGAAUUUUGGUCAAGGAUGAGCUCGCGGCCUAUCAGCUAGUUGGUGAGGUAAUGGCUCACCAAGGCGACGACGGGUAGCCGGCCUGAGAGGGUGACCGGCCACACUGGGACUGAGACACGGCCCAGACUCCUACGGGAGGCAGCAGUGGGGAAUAUUGCACAAUGGGCGCAAGCCUGAUGCAGCAACGCCGCGUGAGGGACGACGGCCUUCGGGUUGUAAACCUCUUUUAGUAGGGAAGAAGCGACUGGGUUUUCCUGGGAGUGACGGUACCUGCAGAAAAAGCACCGGCUAACUACGUGCCAGCAGCCGCGGUAAUACGUAGGGUGCAAGCGUUGUCCGGAAUUAUUGGGCGUAAAGAGCUCGUAGGCGGUUUGUCGCGUCUGCUGUGAAAACCCGAGGCUCAACCUCGGGCCUGCAGUGGGUACGGGCAGACUAGAGUGCGGUAGGGGAGAUUGGAAUUCCUGGUGUAGCGGUGGAAUGCGCAGAUAUCAGGAGGAACACCAAUGGCGAAGGCAGAUCUCUGGGCCGUAACUGACGCUGAGGAGCGAAAGCAUGGGGAGCGAACAGGAUUAGAUACCCUGGUAGUCCAUGCCGUAAACGUUGGGAACUAGAUGUGGGGACCAUUCCACGGUCUCCGUGUCGCAGCUAACGCAUUAAGUUCCCCGCCUGGGGAGUACGGCCGCAAGGCUAAAACUCAAAGGAAUUGACGGGGGCCCGCACAAGCGGCGGAGCAUGCGGAUUAAUUCGAUGCAACGCGAAGAACCUUACCAAGGCUUGACAUAUACCGGUAACGCCUGGAAACAGGUGCCCCGCAAGGUCGGUAUACAGGUGGUGCAUGGUUGUCGUCAGCUCGUGUCGUGAGAUGUUGGGUUAAGUCCCGCAACGAGCGCAACCCUCGUCCUAUGUUGCCAGCACGUAAUGGUGGGAACUCAUGGGAUACUGCCGGGGUCAACUCGGAGGAAGGUGGGGAUGACGUCAAAUCAUCAUGCCCCUUAUGUCUUGGGCUUCACGCAUGCUACAAUGGCCGGUACAAAGGGCUGCGAUACCGCAAGGUGGAGCGAAUCCCAAAAAGCCGGUCUCAGUUCGGAUUGAGGUCUGCAACUCGACCUCAUGAAGUCGGAGUCGCUAGUAAUCGCAGAUCAGCAACGCUGCGGUGAAUACGUUCCCGGGCCUUGUACACACCGCCCGUCAAGUCAUGAAAGUCGGUAACACCCGAAGCCAGUGGCCGAACCCGUAAGGGACGGAG